GUCAGGUUGGCCGAGCGGCCGAAGGCGCCAGAUUUAAGAGAUUGUCGUGUCUUCUGGUUCACAUUUGUGCGCUUGGGUUCGAAUCCCACAUCUGACA